GCUGGUAAGAUAGCUCAGUCAGUAGAGCGUAAGUCUCUUAAUCUCAGGGUCAUGGUUUCGAGCCCCAUGUUGGGCA